AAAAAGAGAAUUUCACACUGAUGUUUUGGAGUUACCGAAGAAGAGGAAUGUACAGGGAAUUGGAUGUGGGCAUAGGUUUGGUGGCUAGGCCAGUAUUUAUUGCUCAGCAUUAUUUGCCCUGAGGUGGUCAGCCAACUUCUUGAACAGCUGCAGUCCAUAUGUAGCGAGAUAGACCCAGGCUGCUAUCAAGAAGGGAGAUCCAAGAUACUAAUUGAACAAAAGUAAAAGAAUAAGAGAAUAUACUGCCAAAUCAGGAUUGUGUCAAGCUUGGAGAUGAACUUGAAGGUUUCCCCGUAGAUCCUCUGGGCUUCAUCCUUCAAGGUGGGACGCAACAUGGCUUGGAAAGUGAUGUCAAAGAACACUUGAGAACUGGAAGACUUCCAAUGUAACACCUCGGUUGAAAAACCUCAUCACGACAAGGGUGGUGGAUACAGAUGCAAUAACAAAACUUCCAGAGUGGAACUGGAUAAGUACUUGGAAGAGGAAAAGACAGGGAUAUGGGAUUAGCUGAACACCUCCUUUAAAACACUGGCCCAGGGACUGCACUUAUCACGCUAUGUGUAUCUAAUAUGACCUUCCAACACUCCACGUUG